rnacentral:lncRNA from 1 species
CCUAGCUGGGGAGCGGGUUGGGGGCAGUGCCCGUUUGGUGGGGCCUGUGGAUCAUAGGGGAAGACCAAGCAACAGAGGGGAUGGCCACAAUUUCCUACCACUUCUACUUUCUCCAUCCCUCCCUCCUGUUCUGCUCUCUACAUCUCUUGCUUUGUCCUCCUCCUGACCUGCCUUCUGUUGGUCCAUGAAAGUAAAUUCAAGUUACCUUAUUUUUGUAUUUUAGGAUGUUUACAAUCAUUGGGGUUUUCAAGUUGAAAUUGCAAAUCAAUCACCCAAUCUAAUUUAUUUUCUUUCCCCUUCUGCCCCUGAACACCAUGUUCAGUCUAACCCACAUGUAUGAAUUACCUUUCUCUUGCCAAGCAACUUGCAACUGGCGAAUACAGAGAUGGCGAAUUCUUCCUCACGUCUCUACCUACAAGUCACAGAGUAACUGGCAAAGAGAUCAUUACAACGGUAGAUAAGGAGUGCUAUCUUCUAGGAGAGCCAAAGAGGAGCUACAUUUACAGUAACAAUUGCCUGAACCUCCAUAAAUCAAGAGGGAGGGGGACUCAGGCCUGGAGUUGUUGACCGGGUUGUCAUAGCUGGCUGGGCUCUGGAGUGAGAAUGGCCAGUGUUGGGCACAAGGAAUUCAUCCAUAGAAGGAAGAAGACAUUGAGCAAAAUAUCUCAAUGAAGUAAUGGAUUUAGAUGCUGUCAGGAACAUCUCAACAGCACAGCAAUUUCUUCUACGUCAAACGUGACUUUUGGCACCAAGGGUAAGUUUACGGAGCCAAAGCUACACUCAGGUCAGGGUCUGACACUGUGUUAAACCAUCUUGAUGUGUAGCAUGCAGCUUGUGUUUUUUGAUAAGGUCAGCUGCAGUUGAUCCAUUAAACAUGAGGAGAAUAAAAAUAUAAGAGAAACAUAGUUCUUUAUGGAU